GCGACAUUCGCCGGGCUUGGUGUUCCGAAGCGCAUCCAAUCUGGGUGUGGAACCGAACAGGGAAUUCAGUAAGGAUCGUCCGCGAUCCGAAGCCGAAGCCGCCCCCGCGACUGUAAGCGGUGAGCCUGCGCCCACUAUGCCACUCGUCCUCGGACGGGGAAGGCGGGCAAAGGCCACGACCCGCGAGCCAGGAGACCUGCCAAGCACAUGAAACGCAA
rnacentral:ncRNA from 1 species